CUAUUCAGCAGUGAUCCACAACUUCUUAUCCCAAAGGAAAAUAAAGAACUUCGUCAAAAUGGACCUGAUAGUUUUGGGACUGGUGGUCUACCACCUCACUAUCUCAAUUCUCCUGUGAAGCCUUUGUUUGGGAAAGAGAUUCCUGUAGUUGAAAAAGAUUCUAUUGAACAUAAACUACAUUCCAGUGCAAAAGAUUAUGUUGGGAAACACAAAGAAGCUUUGAAUCCAUUUCUAAUCAACUUUC